CCAUCCCCCCCCCUCCAGUCAGCAAAGGGAGGGAGAAGACUAUAUAACUCAGAGGGCUGAAUACCGAAAGUCAGCUUACAGCAAAGGGUUCAGCAACAGAAGAUUUUUCUACACACUCAAGCCCCAUUAUGAAGCUGCUAACUGCUUCCAUUUUAAUUGUCCUCUUGGCUGUUUGUACAGUUUCUGCUGAGGAGUCCGUCUUAAGCUCUGUUGUAAGCUAUGUGCAGGAGUUUUCCAGCGAUGUAGUCGGUAAAGCGACAGAUGCUGUGAACACGGUGAAAGAACUGCCUCUGGCCCAAAAUGCAAUGGACAUCUAUGAUGCAGGAGCUGGCUAUGUCUCAUCAUUUGUCAGCUCUGCUGUGGACUUUGCCAGUGAUAAAUGGCAGCAAUUGACAAAAGCCUUCUAAACCCUUUUUCUCUAAAAUGUAUCUUAACAACGAAAAUGGUUCUAGUGGUGUAGGGUAUCUAUCUUCCCAACUGUCUGGGCAGUAACUCUGUGAUCCUAUUUUAAUAAUAUAAAAUACCUUUUUUGUAAAUAAAAUUUCCAUUGUUUGGGAGCUGGA